AUGCUUUACACAUGCAAGUCGAACGAGUAUGGACCCUAGCAAUAGGGGACCCAGCUAGUGGCAGACGGGUGAGUAACGCGUGGGAACCUUCCCUAUAGUACGGAAUAGCCCCGGGAAACUGGGAUUAAUACCGUAUAUUCUCUCCGGAGGAAAGAUUUAUCGCUAUAGGAUGGGCCCGCGUCAGAUUAGCUAGUUGGUGGGGUAAUGGCCGACCAAGGCAACGAUCUGUAGCUGGUCUGAGAGGACGAUCAGCCACACUGGAACUGAGACACGGUCCAGACUCCUACGGGAGGCAGCAGUGGGGAAUAUUGGACAAUGGGGGAAACCCUGAUCCAGCAAUGCCGCGUGAGUGAUGAAGGCCUUAGGGUUGUAAAGCUCUUUCGCAGGGGAAGAUAAUGACGGUACCCUGAUAAGAAGCCCCGGCUAACUUCGUGCCAGCCGCCGCAGUAA
rnacentral:rRNA from 1 species